rnacentral:rRNA from 1 species
GACGAACGCUGGCGGCGUGCUUAACACAUGCAAGUCGAACGGAAAGGCCCUGCUUUUGUUGUGUGCUCGAGUGGCGAACGGGUGAGUAACACGCGAGUAACCUGCCCUUGACUUUGGGAUAACUUCAGGAAACUGGGGCUAAUACCGGAUAGGAUCUCCUGCUGCAUGGUGUGGGUUGGAAAGUUUCGGCGGUUGGGGAUGGACUCGCGGCUUAUCAGCUUGUUGGUGGGGUAGUGGCUUACCAAGGCUUUGACGGGUAGCCGGCCUGAGAGGGUGACCGGCCACAUUGGGACUGAGAUACGGCCCAGAAUCCUACGGGAGGCAGCAGGGGGGAAUAUUGCACAAUGGGCGGAAGCCUGAUGCAGCAACGCCGCGUGCGGGAUGACGGCCUUCGGGUUGUAAACCGAUGUCGCAUGUGACGAAGCGUGAGUGACGGUAAUGGGUAAAGAAGCAACGGCUAACUACGUG